AACCCAACAGCUAGCUUACCCCCCCCAAAAACAAACAACCCCUAUUAAUAACCCCUAAUACACCAAACACCAAAAACUAAACCAUUUUUCCCUCCAAGUAUGGGUGACAAAAAAGAAACGCUCUUUAAAGCUAUAGAAAAAGUACCGCAAAGGGAACGCUGAAAAAGAAAUGAAACAAACAGUAAAGUUAAAAAAAGCAGAAAUUUAUCUUCGUACCUUUUGCAUCAUGAUUUAGUAAGUAAAAACCAAGCAAAAAGCAUUUUAGUUUGGCCCCCCGAAACUAAGUGAGCUACUCCAAGACAGCCUAAAACAUUAGGGCUAACCCUUCUCUGUGGCAAAAGAGUGGGAUGAGCUUAGAGUAGAGGUGAUAGACCUACCGAACUUAGUUAUAGCUGGUUGCUUGAGAAAUGAAUAGGAGUUCAGCUUUCUGGUUUCUCAUCUCCAAACUGCUUUAAUUACACCUGAAUUAAGAAACCAAAAAAGUUAAUUAAAGAGGGUACAGCCCCUUUAAACAAGAUACAACUUCAUCAGAUGGGUAAAGAUCAUAUUUUACUUAAGGGAAAAUGUUUUAGUGGGCCUGAAAGCAGCCAUCUAUAAGAAAGCGUUAAAGCUCCCUCAUAGUUUUAUCCAUUAAUCCCGAUAACCCUUCCUAAACCCACUAAUUUUAUCAAGCCACUCCAUGUCAACAUGGAUGAGAUUAUGCUAAUAUGAGUAAUAAGAAAAAACUAGAUUUUCUCCAUGCCCAAGUGUAACUCGAAACGGACCCCCCAUCUGAAACUUACUUCGGCCCCCAAAUAAAAAGAGGGUAAUGAACCACAACCUUUAAUAACAAGAAAAACCACCCAAAAACUAACCGUUAACCCCACACUGGUGUUCUCACCAGGAAAGACUAAAAGAAAAAGAAGGAACUCGGCAAAUACAAGCCUCGCCUGUUUACCAAAAACAUCGCCUCUUGCUAAUCAAGAAUAAGAGGUCCUGCCUGCCCUGUGAUAUAUAUUUAACGGCCGCGGUAUUUUGACCGUGCAAAGGUAGCGCAAUCACUUGUCCUUUAAAUGAAGACCUGUAUGAAUGGCAUGACGAGGGCUUAACUGUCUCCUUUUUCCAAUCAAUGAAAUUGAUCUUCCCGUGCAGAAGCGGGAAUACAACCAUAAGACGAGAAGACCCUAUGGAGCUUUAAACAAAAAUAGAUCUUGUUAAACAUAUCUUAAUUAAAGAAGUGAACCGAAAGAAUCCUAUCAUUAUGUUUUUGGUUGGGGCGACCGCGGGGAAACAAACAACCCCCAUGUGGACUAAGAAAACAUUUCUCACAAUAAAGAGCCACAGCUCUAAUUUAACAGAAUUUCUGACCUAUAGAUCCGGCAAUGCCGAUCAACGGACCGAGUUACCCUAGGGAUAACAGCGCAAUCCUCUUUAAGAGUUCAUAUCGACAAGAGGGUUUACGACCUCGAUGUUGGAUCAGGACACCCUAAUGGUGCAGCAGCUAUUAAGGGUUCGUUUGUUCAACGGAUUAAAGUCCUACGUGAUCUGAGUUCAGACCGGAGUAAUCCAGGUCAGUUUCUAUCUAUGCUAUGAUUUUUUCUAGUACGAAAGGACCGAGAAAAGGGGGCCUAUACUAAAAGCACGCCUCACCCCCACCUAAUGAAACCAACUAAAUUAGAUAAAAGGACAUAUACACCCCCCCCCCCGAAAAAUUAAGCAUU
rnacentral:rRNA from 1 species